UCCGAGUUGACCCCGGCAGUCUCUCACGAGUCCCCGCCAUUACGCGCUGGCAACAUAAGAUAAGGGUUGCGCUCGUUGCGGGACUUAACCCAACAUCUCACGACACGAGCUGACGACAGCCAUGCACCACCUGUACACCGACCACAAGGGGGGCCGUAUCUCUACGGCUUUCCGGUAUAUGUCAAACCCAGGUAAGGUUCUUCGCGUUGCAUCGAAUUAAUCCACAUAAUCCACCGCUUGUGCGGGUCCCCGUCAAUUCCUUUGAGUUUUAGCCUUGCGGCCGUAGUCCCCAGGCGGGGUGCUUAACGCGUUAGCUACGACACGGGAUCCGUGAACCAGACCCCACAUCUAGCACCCAUCGUUUACGGCGUGGACUAC
rnacentral:misc_RNA from 1 species